AAGAAGAAUUUAAAGGAAAACAUCACAGAGUAUGGUGUUGAACGCGUUGACAAUGUCCAACGAGACCGCCAACGUCACCUCGCUUUGGGAAACGAUAACCCCCGACACGGCUUGCACACGAUUUACCGCGUCCACCGUCGAGCGGUCCCGCCAGAAGCUGUACUGGCUUUCGUGCAAACCGGGCACUCGCACUAACAUAUGGGCCUUCAGACAGGCGGCAAUUACUCUUUCAAAGAGUUUGUUCACCUCAUCUAAUAGGCACACUUGCCGAUCAUAUUACAGUGCCUGGAUUCGUUUGAACUAGUCGGCAAACGAUGAAAGUUAUUUAUGUUAAAAAUUAUGAUUAAUUAUGUUAAUAUAAAUAACAAAAAUAAAAUUAAUAAAAUAAACAAUAAAAUUAUUAUUAUGAUAAGAAAUCAAACGUAUCUUUAAAUGACAGAUUUAACAUCGGUAUUCGGUAAUUCAUAGAUGGCUUGUAAUAUUUGAUUCUAGUAGUAAGCGUACAUGUUACAUUGUUGUUAUUCUCAAUGUCCUCGCAAGCACAGAUUCGAAAUUAAGUCGCUAACCCUAUAUGUUACACUGACUUCUAAAUUUAUCUCAGCUCCAAGCCUCAACUGUCAUUCUAUCCUUGUAAAAAGUAAAUUUUAAUGAUUUUACGUCAGCUUCGUAUAUAAUCGUGUUCUGAUAUUCCAAAAGCAAAUAAUAGUGGAUAUUUUUUGAAAAAAUACAAUGUCUUACUCUUCCAGAUUUUAAUAGAUACAUUUUUCCUUCUGAGAUACCCCCGAAUUAUCCAGCGAUUGCCUUUUGUUUAAAUGUUUAGUAUUAAAGAUAAUGACACGUAAUGGUACGAGAGAAAGAAACAAAAGGAUAAAGGAUAGUGUGCUAGUGUAUCGCGUUCGUGUCUAUAUGUCGGGUUGGCGUUAGGAUGAGGGUUAGGGGCGUUCAAUGAAUCUUCACUGGAAUUAGCCAUCGAUGCGGUGCAACAAAGGACCUACACCUCACAAUUGGUGACCCCGACGUGAUCUACAGUAACAAAAGAGGUGUGACUGUGAUAGCGCUACCAAGACUUCCAUCAUUGCGAAUCUAAGACUGUGGCAAGCUGGACCUCUACCACUACGACAAACGCGGAACGGCUUUUCCAUCUUCAGCAAACCUCGACACCUCACCUCCGAUCGACGCGCAAAGCAGGUGGUGAGAUACGAGACGAUGACCAAGCCUGGAGUGAUGUGGCCAUUACAAAGUUCAUGGACGUGAUGCCCACCAGCACGCCAUAAUAAAAAGAGGAACAGAGGCCUACGACCGUACGCAAACACCCCGCACCGUACCGACAAGUAUCCACCGUCACAUCGAAAGACUUUGCGCAACAUAUGCACAGGCUUGACAACAAUCGGCUAACGCUUUACCACACAAAGAAGAAACGUUAUCACUGGUAAAGAGGUACUGUGACGGCACUCGACAGCAAAUACGACCACUCGACACUAACUAUUGUCGGAUGACAGCAGCGCAGUGGUUAGCGUCUUAGAUUACGAACGUUCGGAACCCGGAUUCAAAUCCCGGCGAUCAUAGUCCGAUUCUUCUUAAAUGAGAAGAAAAACAGCAUUACCCCAGCAGCGACAUAUACGCCCGUAGCAGAACCUAUCUCCAGCUGCCACACUAGCAGUAGCGCACUAUCACCACAAACAACUACUAUACUCCACCUCAUAUCUCUUCUAUUAUUGAACUGAAUGAAUUUCGGAGUGGGAUGUCUUAUAGCCAUUGUUGUUUUUUUGUAUCUGAAAAUUUCAUAGCGUUUGUGCCUAUUUUAUGCGUUUUGUGUGCUGUUGCUAUCUUCCAGUGUUCACCUUGAUAUGAUAGUUCGUCAUUGUAGCUAUUUUCUUCGUGGUUUUGCAACGUUUCCAUUACUUUUGUCGUCAUUCUACCGUCGACUGCCAAAGUGCGUAGACAUGUAUCUAAUGCUCAGUGAAGUUUACAAUACAAGUGACGACCCUUCGUCGAAAGUGAAUUGAAACAGAAAUAAACCAAGUGUUUUCUAAACUUACUCGUGGAAAAUCCGACACUCCUAAUCUUUAAUCCAAACGACAACCUCUCGCAUAGCAUUGCAUGCAUAGCACGCAAUAUUUCGCUGCAUAGUGACGAGCGACAACUUGCAGCCGGAACACCUUCAGUUUCACGACGACACGAGUGAUCUUCGGAAAGAACAUCUUCCUCACGAAGCUCACAAUAUUCCCCUGCACAGUGACGAGCGACAACUGCAGCCGGAACAACUCCGCAUCGGGAAUCAUUGAUCGCACAUCAUAAGUAUCACCUUCGUUAACGAAGUAUCCUCAUCAAGAAGCAUAACCCAUUGGUUGAGGAACGCAACCACGCAAUCUCUCGCCGCAGCUGGACAAUCAUCAACGCAACGAAUUCCAACAACAACGAAAUCUCGCAACGACAAGAAUGCCGACUGCGUAAAAAAUCAACAUCAUGCUACAAAAACGCGAUAAAUAUCUCGGCAUCAUCCUGACCAUACAGAAAUGUAUCGACCAGUAUCAAUAAGCUAACAAGAAUGACGAUUGUCUCUUGAAAACAUAUCAAGCCCAACUCGAGGAAGAGUGGAAACGAUUCCGACUCGCCCAAGAGGAUUUAGAGGACCUCGGCGAAGCGGACUCCACGUUGGAAAUAGACACGUUAGAAAUUUUCAUUUCCCUGGGAGGUCGACUAAAGAAUCUGAUACAGGGCAAGCGAUCAGCAAUCCCGUCAAUACCGAAGGGCAGCAAUACGUCUAACCAUUUCCAGGGAAGUAAGAGAAACUUAAAUAAAAAACAUCAUAUUGAAUCAAACGCCGAUCCCGUCGCAUGACACGCGGAGCUCAUUACAUGCCACUCGCAACGUGUCAUCUACACGCGACCUGACGACAACCACGUUCGCAUCGUCAGCAUCUUAACAAUCUGAUUCAACGCCACCAAACGCCUUGAAUCAGAUAACCGCUCACGAUCCUCUGGACCGGAAGAAAGAGAAAACCUCACCAGGCGACAAGCCGUCGCAGACGCUGAUCUUUCCGAAUUCGUUACAAGAUGUGCGAUGCCCUGUAACUGUAAUUCAUAACGUAGAGAGUAACGGAUUAAAUCCCGUCAAUGACACCGAGGUCAAUCUAGAGUCGAAACCUAUGGUAGACUCUCCGGAAUCCACGAUGAUCGAACGAUCAAGGAGCAGACUUUCCUCGAUCAGCACUUCGACGGUUAAUAACCUGUCCUGCACCACGUUACCUGUUCCACCUAACAUGAAUAUCGCAUCGGAAAGUCAUUCUCUGGGACAUAACGAGAAGACUUCUCCUUCGCCAUGACCGAAAGGGGUCACACCUGCGAGUAACCCGAAUCGGAAUAAUCUCCACAUUGUUGCCACCGUGACUAGUCACUCAAUUGAUGAUUUUCAGAACACCCCAUCGGAUCUCAACAUUUGUCCACUGAGCCCACAGAUCGCUACAUCGGACAAGUCUCUGACCACCACCUUCUCCCUGGAGUCACCCUUGGCUCCAACAAUGCCGGCACAUUCACCUUUGUCAAAACAAGUUCCAAUCACGGACUUCACGAAGCCGAACGUCCCUUCACCAACCAUGACAUCUUUCACACUUUCACAGCCGAGACGAAGAUGAGAACGAGAAGGUCAAAAGAACGCGCAAUAUUGUCAAGGGUCUGAUGUUUUGGAAUUCCACUAUCAAGGUCCUUCAGGAGAUAACUUAUCACAAUACAAAGAAACGUGGAAUCCUCCAGAGCAACCAAACCUGGCCUCCCACCGAUGAGCUCGCCAGGAAGGACGAACCAGCACAUUCUAUGCACAGUCCCAACAUGGUGACACUCCCCGGAAAGAAAGCAAGGCCUAAUGCUAGACAAUUCAGAGCUCAACUGUUCCUUGAAACCAGAGUCUAGGCAGAACAGUCUGGGUUACACGGAACCAGCGGACGCUAUCGCACACCUUCGCCAUUUCCGAAAAGGGCCACACCUAAAAGUGACUCGAAUCGGAAUAACUUCCACGUUAUCGCCAUCAUGGCGAAUCACUCUGAUGAUAUCGAUGGUUUACAGAACGCCCCAUCGGAUCUCUACACUUGUCUACUGAGUCCACAGAUCGCUACAUCGGACAAGUCUCGGACCAGAGAUAUCUCACUGAAGUCACCCUUGGCUCCAACGACACCGGCAUACUCUACAAUGUCAAAACAAGUCCUAGUCACGACGUACAACGCUCCUUCUCCACCAAGAAUCAUCACCCAGAAAACGCAAUUCGAACAGAUCAUCGGGAGGAGCCCAGUCUCCCAAUCAACUACAAAACUCCACAUCGUGUUUGACGAAUCUGCAUCAAGCACUACCGAAGUUCCUUUCAGCGAUACAGCACCGGAUAAGGACCGACACAAUGAAGCAGAAUGAUAAAAUACGCCUGCAAAUGUAAAUCUUAACCCAUUGCAGCCAAUCGAAUGAAAGAAAUCUAACCAAACGGAAGCUACGAUGCCUCUGAUUUCAUCUUCCAUGGAUAAUGGGACCCAUAAGCUCAACACUUGUUUACUGAAUCCACGGAGUUACCCUUACCUUCAACGACGUCGGUACUCUGUCCAACGUCAACUUAAGUCACAAUCACGGACGCCAUGACGCCCAACGCCCUCUCACCACCAAGGAUCAUCAGCAAGAAAGUGCGAGACGGAUGGGUCAGCGGGAGGAGCCUCUCUGCCAAUCAACCAUAACCAUCAUUCGCGCCUCCACGAUGAAUCUACCUAGGGACCUCACUUGUUGGGCCGACGUGUUCCACGACACUUCGUGAGCAGUGGUGUUACACGACUCUUGCUCGUCCGACGUGUUCCAUGACACCUCCUAGGACGAGGUGUUCCACGACAUAUCCAAAAUCAAUGCGUUUCGCGACACGUCUUGAGUCGUGAACACCAGCAUGAACUUUAUUGACCACGACAAGGAAGACUACCAUCUGCACUGCGAGGUAAACGACGAGCCCUCAACGCAACGGACCUUCAGCCGUAUCAUCAAAUUCGCCCUGGCGGCGACGGCAUCAUCCAGACGACCACAGCUUAUGCGGCAACGAGCAUCUUGGAUCGCGGUGACAAACAGCUUGUCCCACUAUCGAGCCAACCCGAUCCAGCAGAAUACAGACAAUCAGCAAUCGACAAGAAGUUGAAUGGGAAGUCCAACUAAUUUUACCUUUUAGAACUGUAGCGGCACUCGACAACAAAUACCGCCAUUCGACACUAACAACGGACACGGUGGCGAUGUGGACUGUCCUGUUUUUGCGAUCACUGUCCUGUUUUUGCGACCAGGCUUUCAGGACAGAAAUGGAAAGAAAAAAAAAGACAAUAUCGUACAUAAGCACCGCUCUACAGCGGCGUAAAUUUAAGUUACAAAAGUAAUCUUAAAAAGAAAAAAAAAGAUGUAAUAUUGCAUGGCUAUGUCGUACCGUCGUGUAUCGGUACUUUUGCCUGAACCACCCCACAACCAGAAUUCAUCGUUUAUAAUGGAAAUACAAAUAUGUAAUACACAAAAUCUGGUUAUAAUAAACGGAAAAAAAAAAGAAAAACGGUGGCGAAGUGGUUAGCGCCUUAGGUUACGAACGUUCGGGACCCAGGUUCGACUCCCGGCGCCCGUAGUACGAAUUUUCUUCCACGCAUCAAAAAUAGAUAAAUAAUAGCAGUACCCCAGCAGCAACAUCUACAGCCAGAGCUACAAUUAAUCCGGACCAGGACCAGCGACAAUCAUCACGGACAACAUAUAUAUACCACCUCAUAUAAUUCAAAUUAUACCUGUUUGAUCUCGUUUUAAUCGGAAAGAUUACAAAUACGUUAGUAGAAAUUUAAUUUUAAAAAAGUCAAAAAUAAAAUUUAUUUUUUAAAUUAGUACCUACAUGCAUUGUCUCAGCGAUAUCUGACAUUAUAUCAUGUUACACUAUUCUACCGCGGUGGACCAUCGAGUUUUCCACUGCAUCAAGGGGAAUCUCCCUGUCUGUGGUAGGAAUGACUACUAUGCAAUUACCGAAAGGUUCAAUUAUUGGAGGUUUCCUUCGAAAAAAAAACCACGGUACAACUACAGCAAAUUCUGUCUAUAAUUGUGCGGGUGUGACAGUGUCACAGAUCCAUAAAUUAGGAAUAGAAAAACGAAGGGGGCCUAACGAACAUCCUGCAGGCCAUCAAAGCAACAACGUAAACAGUGUCCCAGCGUUAGAAGAGAGUAACAGCAUGGCAACUUCUGACCUCGGCCUCGGUGACACCACCGGCAACACCCCCUCCAUAAGAGCCAAACCUAUAGUAUAUAAACCUUCCCAAAAUCAGCUCUCGACACUCUGUCCUGACAUUUUUAACUGUCACUCUGUUGAAUUCACAUAAUCAAUUCUCGAACUGUUCUGUUUUUGCGUCCAGGUUUUCAGGACAUAAAUUAAAAUAUCGUACAUAAGCACAGCGUAACAGCGGAUUAAAUUUAAGGCACAAUAAUAAUCUUAAAAAAAAAAAAA